UUUUGAUAGAGGUUCUACUGUGGAUAAAAUACUAUCAAACAGCAUCAUGUGCUACAGAGAAAUCAUUCAUGAAAAGAAGAGUCAAUUGAUAUAGCAAGCUUCAAUGUUGUCUUAUUUUACGAAAUUCCCAGUCACCCCAACCUUCAACAACCACCUUCUGAUCAGUCAACAGCCUUCAACAUUGAGUGGGCUGGAACCAAACCUGCAAUAUCUCCAAGGUGUGUCUAUACCUAAGAACACGGCUUCUCACAGACCUGACUCCCCUACACAAACAAGACGUGGAUAGCCACCAAGUUCCCUCCCACAUAUGCAGAGAAGAUUCCCUCGCACCAUUAAUGCGUGUGACUUGCUUCAGUCAACGGAACGUGAGCAAAUGUACACAAGGAGAAGGCUUAAACGUGCUCCUGUGGGUUGCUGUGGCCUCUGGAGCC
rnacentral:lncRNA from 1 species